rnacentral:rRNA from 1 species
GACGAACGCUGGCGGCGUGCCUAAUACAUGCAAGUAGAACGCAGUUGCGAGCGGGCGAGUAAGUCGUAGGUAACUACCUCACAGCGGGGGGUGACUACUGGAAACGAUAGCUACUACCGCAUACUGUGAUACGGACCUGCGUUGUAUUAGUUAGUUGGUGAGGUAAAGGCUCACCAAGGCGACGAUACCUAGCCGACCUGGGAGGGUGAACGGCCACACCGGGACUGAGACACGGCCCAGACUCCUAAGGGAGGGAGGAGGAGGGAAUCAUCGGAAAUGGACGGAAGUCUGACCGAGCAACGGCGCGGGAGUGAAGAAGGUUUUCGGAUCGUAAAGCUCUGUUGUUAGAGAAGCGGUAACUAACCAGGAAGGGACGGCUAACUACGUGCCAACAGCCGCGGUAAUUC